rnacentral:lncRNA from 1 species
ACACUCGAUGGCGUUGUGCUCACUAGGUAGAAACGAUUUACCGACAGGUUUUUACUUGAAUCGUUUCUGCUCCUGCAUGCAUCACAUCAUCAAUACCACUUUGCCUUUAUUUACUCACUUUAUUCUUUUCUUCUCAUGCAUGGUUCCUUUCGUGUUCACUUCCUUUUUCAAAUGUUCAACUUUCUCUGUACAACACUACUAGAAAUCACCAUGUUCUCUAGGAUUUUAGAGGUUCC